UCAAGUGAAGAACCUUAACGGAUCUGUGAAGAUGGUCACCAUGGUGGUUUUUCUUCUGGCUUUUGUUGGAGCGGCAUCUUCAGAACUCAGACGGAGCUGUGACCCGGAGCAAGGACAAGAAACGCUGACUCUUUGCUCAAAUUACAAAAACAUUUUACACCUCUGAUGUUCAGACAAAACUUGAAGAGAACCAAAUGCUGCUGCGAGACAGGAUUGACGCUAUGGAAGGUAGGACCGGACUGCAGCUUGAUUCUGCAAGCGGCAACAUUAGUGCGCUUGAAAGGUUAAUGACAAAUGUUUCAAACGCACAAAAGGACCUAGAAGAGAUGGCGUCACAAACUGAGAUGGAGUUGAGAGAUGCAAAGACAAAGCUGGAGGAACAGGAAGUUGACAUUGCCAGCCUGAAGAGAGAAGUUGGAGAACUGGUCAAACACGGGGAGAGAGUCAGUGGAAACAUCAGUGAGAUUGAGGAGAGACUUGAUACAACUGAGAGCAGUUAAGGGAGAGAAACUUGAAAAUCUGGAGUCAGAAACUGGGGCUGCGUUCAAUGCCACACAGAAACUGCUGACUCUAUGCAAGAAGGAACUCUCCCACCUUAACUCGACGGCCCGGGAGCUUGAAGUCAAAGUCGAAGCCCUACUGAAUCCCACGGAGACGCAACUUGAAGCUAACCUGACGGAAAUACAAAAUGACAGCGGAGAACCCAGAACUGAAGAAAGUGAACUCUCAUUAGAGGCGAUGCGCCUUACAGCAGAAGUCAAUGCCAAGGUGGCCUUUUCUGCAACUAUAAUCGAAUCCAACGAUGCGUUCACUGGACCCGGCACGAACGGCACCAACAAUAUUCUCAUCUAUAACAGUCUUCACAAAUGUUGGCUUCGAUUACAACAGUAAAACAGGAGCCAUCCUGGUGAAGAACAGGAAUUACCAAGUGAGCACCUGGGAAUUCACUGGCUCAGAUAACAGCGGCAACACGGUAAUCCUUGAGCUGGAUGUCGGAGAGACCGUCAACGGCAUCCUGUGGAAGGGUGGAAAAAUGCUUAAGUGGGUUCCUCAUCUUCCCAACAUUGUAGAUUUUAGAAUAGAAUGAGAUGCCAUGGCUUGUUCAGGGAUGCUCGUCUCAAUCUGUUCU